rnacentral:misc_RNA from 1 species
UUUCCGUAGGUGAACCUGCGGAAGGAUCAUUAUCGAAUAAACUAGGUGGGUUGUUGCUGUCCCUUUCGAGGGAAUUGUGCACACCUUACCUUUUUUGUUUUUCCACCUGUGCACACAUUGUAGGUCUGGAGGGGAAGGGAGGCAACUCCCUGACGUUUCAGGUCCUAUGUCUCUACAUAUACACUAUUAAAAGUAACAGAACGAUUCAAUGGGCUCUAAGCCUAUAAACUAUAUACAACUUUCAGCAACGGAUCUCUUGGCUCUC